AACGCACAUUGCGCCCGCCAGUAUUCUGGCGGGCAUGCCUGUUCGAGCGUCAUUUCAACCCUCGAGCCUCUAGUGGGCUUGGUGUUGGGUCUCGGCGCCGCUCCCGGCGGCCGGCCCCUAAAUCGAGUGGCGGUCACGCCCCCGUUUCCUCUGCGUAGUAGCACAACCUCGCACUGGGACGCGGCGCGGCCACGCCGUAAAGCAAGCUUUAUGAGCAUUUCUGAAUGUUGACCUCGGAUCAGGUAGGAAUACCCGCUGAACUUAA
rnacentral:misc_RNA from 1 species